rnacentral:rRNA from 1 species
AUUGAACGCUGGCGGCAGGCCUAACACAUGCAAGUCGAGCGGAUGAAGGGAGCUUGCUCCUGGAUUCAGCGGCGGACGGGUGGGUAAUGCCUAGGAAUCUGCCUGGUAGUGGGGGAUAACGUCCGGAAACGGGCGCUAAUACCGCAUACGUCCUGAGGGAGAAAGUGGGGGAUCUUCGGACCUCACGCUAUCAGAUGAGCCUAGGUCGGAUUAGCUAGUUGGUGGGGUAAAGGCCUACCAAGGCGACGAUCCGUAACUGGUUUGAGAGGAUGAUCAGUCACACUGGAACUGAGACACGGUCCAGACUCCUACGGGAGGCAGCAGUGGGGAAUAUUGGACAAUGGGCGAAAGCCUGAUCCAGCCAUGCCGCGUGUGUGAAGAAGGUCUUCGGAUUGUAAAGCACUUUAAGUUGGGAGGAAGGGCAGUAAGUUAAUACCUUGCUGUUUUGACGUUACCAACAGAAUAAGCACCGGCUAACUUCGUG